rfam:Candidatus Gracilibacteria bacterium CG1_02_38_174 cg_0.2_sub10_scaffold_2053_c, whole genome shotgun sequence.
GGCGUCAUCGUCUAACGGUUAGGACGCGGGAUUCUCAUUCCCGCAAUCGGAGUUCGAUUCUCCGUGACGUCA